UCAAGCUACUAAGAGCAUGCGUGAGGAUGCCUUGGCGCAAUUAGGCGAUGAAGGACGUGGACAACUGCGAUAAGCUUCGGUGAGGUGUAAUCAACCUUUGACCCGGAGAUUUCCGAAUGGGGAAACCCAGCCGCAUAGCCUGCGGCUACGUGCCAGUGAAUACAUAGCUGGUUCGAGCGAACGGGGGGAAGUGAACCAUCUCAGUACCCCUAGGAAGAGAAAACAACCGUGAUUCCGAUAGUAGUGGCGAGCGAACUCGGAAUAGCCCAAACCUGGUGAUUCGCAAGGAGAGCCAGGGGUAGUAGGACCACAAUAAUCAACAGGCCAAUCUCGCAAGAGACGGGUCCGUUGGUUUUAACGAGGUUAUAGGAAAGCGUUAGUGGAAGCGUUCAGGAAAGUUCCACCAUAGAGGGUGAUAGUCCCGUACACGAAAAUGCAAUCCUAGCUUCUAGUGGCUCCUGAGUACCGCGAGACACGUGAAAUCUUGCGGGAAUCCGCCGGGACCAUCCGGCAAGGCUAAAUACUCAAUUGCGACCGAUAGUGAACAAGUACCGUGAGGGAAAGGUGAAAAGAACCCCUGCGAGGGGAGUGAAAUAGUACCUGAAACCGCAUGCUUACAAGCAGUGGGAGGGCGUUAAUGCCUGACCUCGUGCCUAUUGAAUAAUGAGCUGGCUAGUCAUUCUCAGUGGCAAGGUUAAGAGAAAUCGAGCCGCAGCGAAAGCGAGUCUGAAUAGGGCGUCGAGUCGCUGGGAAUGGACGCGAAGCGGGAUGAUCUACCCUUGGCCAGGAUGAAAUUCGUGUAACAGCGAAUGGAGGUCCGAACCAGUGUUGGUUGAAAACAGCUUGGAUGAGCUGAGGGUAGGGGUGAAAGGCUAAUCAAAUUCCGUGAUAGCUCGUUCUCUCCGAAAUAGCUUUAGGGCUAGCGUCGUGUGGUCCGUCUUGGUGGUAGAGAACUGAUUGGACUAGGGGGCUUCCCAGCUUACCGAAUCCAGCCAAACUUCGAAUGCCAGGAACGAGUAGCACGGCAGUCAGACAGUGUGGGCUAAGCUUCAUUGUCGAAAGGGGAAGAGCCCAGACCAACAACUAAGGUCCCCAAAUAUACGCUAAGUGGUAAAGGAAGUCGGGAGGCAUUGACAGCCAGGAGGUUAGCUUAGAAGCAGCUAUCCUUUAAAGAAAGCGUAAUAGCUCACUGGUCGAGCAACCCGGUGCCGAUAAUCCAACGGGGCUCAAGCGUAUUACCGAAGUUUUGGAUGCGUAGCAAUACGCGUGGUAGGAGAGCGUUCCUAACAGCUGCGAAGGUAUACCGUGAGGAGUACUGGAGCGUUAGGAAGAGACUCUGCCAGCAUAAGUAGCGAGAAACCAGGUGAGAACCCUGGUCGCCGUAAGUCUAAGGUUUCCUGAGAAAGGUUAAUCCGCUCAGGGUUAGUCGGUGCCUAAGGUGAGGCCGAAAGGCGUAGCUGAUGGACACACGGUUAAUAUUCCGUGACCUCUGAUAGUUUCGAUGCGGGGACGCAUCGCGGGACUGUCCUAUGUAAUGGUUUAAGUAGGAUGGAAGCGCGAGAUCCGGAUAGGCAAAUCCGCCGGGUCGUAUGCCAGGAAAAUCCGCUAAGGUUAGGCUAUUAGAGACCGUACCACAAACCGACACAGGUGGACGAGUAGAAUAUACUCAGGCGCUCGGGUGACCGAUUGUUCAGGAACUAGGCACAUUAACCCCGUAACUUCGGGAGAAGGGGUGCUCUCCUCUGGAGAGCCGCAGCGAAUCGCGUCAGGCGACUGUUUAACAAAAACACAGGUCUCUGCAAAGUCAAAAAUACGACGUAUAGGGGCUGACUCCUGCCCGGUGCCGGAAGGUUAAAAGGAGAGGUUAGCCGCAAGGCGAAGCUUUGAAUUGAAGCCCCGGUGAACGGCGGCCGUAACUAUAACGGUCCUAAGGUAGCGAAAUUCCUUGUCGGGUAAGUUCCGACCUGCACGAAUGGAGUAACGAUCUGACGACUGUCUUAACAAUUAGCCCGGCGAAUUUGUGGUUCCGGUGAAGACGCCGGAUGCCCGCAGCAAGACGGAAAGACCCCGUGCACCUUUACUAUACUUUAUCAAUGAAUUAUGGGUUGUUCUGCGCAGGAUAGGUGGGAGGCUUUGAACUCGGAUUCUUGGGUUCGAGGGAGCCAAUGGUGAGAUACCACCCUGAUCAACCUGUGAUUCUAACCUACUCCCGUUAUCCGGGAGAGGGACAUUGGUAGACGGGUAGUUUGACUGGGGCGGUCGCCUCCUAAAAUGUAACGGAGGCGUACGAAGCUACGUUCACUCUGUUUGGAAAUCAGAGGUCGAGUGCAAUGGCAUAAACGUGGUUAACUGCGAGACCAACAAGUCAAGCAGAUGCGAAAGCAGGUCAUAGUGAUCCGGUGGUUCUGUAUGGAAGGGCCAUCGCUCAACGGAUAAAAGGUACGCCGGGGAUAACAGGCUGAUCGGAGCCAAGAGUUCACAUCGACGCUCCGGUUUGGCACCUCGAUGUCGGUUCAUCGCAUCCUGGGGGUGUAGAAGCUCCCAAGGGUUAGGCUGUUCGCCUAUUAAAGCGGUACGUGAACUGGGUUCAGAACGUCGCGAGACAGUUCGGUCCCUAUCUGCUGUGGGCGUAGGAAAAUUGAGAGGGCCUGGCAUUAGUACGAGAGGACCGUGCUGGACCAACCUCUUGUGAUUCAGUUGUCCCACCAGGGGCACUGCUGAGUAGCGAAGUUGGGUUAGGAUAAGCGCUGAACGCAUAUAAGCGCGAAACCUUCCUCAAGAUGAGUUUUCCCAAGCAUUAGCUAAGAAGGGCCGUGGUAGACCACCACGUCGAUAGGACGGAUGUGUAAGCGCAGUGAUGCGUUGAGCUAACCGUUACUAACCGCCCGUUCGGCUUGACCA
rnacentral:rRNA from 1 species